rfam:Triticum aestivum genome assembly, contig: Triticum_aestivum_CS42_TGACv1_scaffold_592595_7BS
AUGAUACUCCCUCCGUCCGAAAAUACUUGUCAUCAAAAUGGAUAAAAGGAGAUGUAUCUAGACGUAUUUUAGUUCUAAAUACAUCGCAUUUUAUCCAUUUUGAUGACAAGUAUUUUCGAACGGAGGGAGUAUAUA